GGAAAAGAAGCCCGGAUGGUUCGGUUCAGUGAGGUGCCACCAGAUGGGAGAAAGGUUGGAUUUCUCACCGCGUCCCAACCCUCUGCUUCUGCCCACCUCCUCAUGCUCCCAUCCACCCCACUUGGGGGCUUUUGGGGGGCAGGAUGUGGAUGUCCUGGGGUUGGGUUGUUGGGGUGGUGGGAACUGCUCAGCACUUUGGAAAGAAAGGAAUGAAAAGAGGAAAGGAAGAAAUGCCACCAAAUGAGGCAAUUGAGCUGAGGUUUCCUUAGAAGAUCAUAGAACCAUGGGAUGGUUGGGAUGGAAGGGUCCUUGAAGAUCAUAGAGCCAUAGGGUUGUUGGGAUGGAAGGGUCCUUGAAGAUCAUAGAGCCAUAGGAUGGUUGGGUCAGAAGGGACGGCACCGCUUAACAGAGUGACACCGCUGUACCUUUGGGUCCACCUGCUGCUGUCCCACCCACAGGACCCACCACCUCUCAUGACAUCUCACAUGUUAAAUACUUCCAGCAAUUUGCUCCUUACUCUCUGGGGAGUGCCACAUCUUCUGGCUUUUCUGAGCACCAGCAGCUGCACAGACCCUGCUGAAGGAGCAUCCAAGGGCUCGUUGGGUGCACACAUGCCAACAAGGAGCUCAGUACAGAGCUGAUGCUCCUCCACCAUGAAAUCCAAGAAGACUUCCACAUCCCCGAGCUCUGAACCCAUAAUUCUGGCCCUAACCCAGGGCACCAUCUUGACCCAAUGGCGCAGAGCGCGGACGGUCAACCAAACACCCCUUCGUGUGCACUGCACAGAGCGGGGUUGGGACAGACACACAGCCAUGUGCAAAUCCAACUGGGGGUUAAAAACUGCCCCCUCCCCUCUCUGUGCUGCUCAACCCCGGGCUGCGAACCUGUGGGAUAACGCAGUCCAUGUGUGAGCCCACAGCACCGCUUUGAUGGCGCCUGCAAAUAAUUCCGGGCACAAAAUCAGAGGCCAAACCUCAGCGGUUCUUUUUUCCUUGGUCAGGGGGGGCUGAGGAUGACCUCCAUUUUCACACUGUGCGAAAUAAAUGGGAUGUGG
ensembl:lncRNA